UUUGCUAUGUUCCCCUUUUGUAGGUGGCCUCUUCCUCAUUCCUUAUCUUUUUUUCUUCAAAAACUUCUUAAACCUUCUAGUAAUGAGGGCCAUGUCUUCAUCCUGCUCUUCAUUUUCUGUAUCAUCAGAUUCUUCAUCAGGUUGAGCAGUGAAUUUGAGGGCGAUUAUCCUCUUCUUUUUGACAUCUUCUUCUUGGUGUUGUUUCAUGCUUAAGCUCAUGUGUCAUCAGCGAUCUUAGAAGCUCCUCCAAGGGUAGGAUAUUCAGAUCUUUGGCUUCUUGAAUUGCGAUCACUUUGGCCUCCCAAGUCCUUGGUAAAGAUCUAAGAAUCUUUCUCACGAGAUCACUGUUAGAAUAAGACUUACCAAAACUUUUUAGACCAUUAAUAAUAUCAGUAAAAUGAGUAAAUAUUUCAGUUAUUGAUUCAUCAUGCUCCAUUUUAAAAAGUUCAUAUUUAUACACAAGCAUGUUAAUUUUUGAUUCCUUCACUUGAUUAGUUCUUUCAUGAGUUACUUCUAAUCUAUCCCAUAUUUCCUUAGCUG
rnacentral:lncRNA from 1 species